GUGACAAGUUCGAUCCGGUGAGCAGGCGUGGAAUACUUGUCGGAUAUGGGAACGGAGGACAGUACUGUGUGCUGUACGAGGACGGCAUUAUUGCCGUAGUUCACUUUGAUGAGUCUAAUGUCGGCCGGUGGCGUUAUGCCGGGGACUCCGAUUAUGAGUCCGAUGCCGAUGAGGAGGAUUUUCGCACUAGCCUGCCUGGUGAGGGAUCGCUGCCUAGGGCUGGUGAAGGGAUACCAGGUAGCACGGUCGGCGAGGGAUCACCACACAAGGCUCCAACACACGCACAUUGAGUAGUUCGGAUCGGUUGUAAGUUACGUGGUGAGUAGAUGCAGAGUCCAGAAACCAUUCCGUCGGAUGCUCGUUGUUGUUGUUGUUGUUACAGGGUGGUUAAGCUUCACCAGUGGCCUCCUUCCCGAGGCAAUUCCCUGCUCUCCCCUGCUAGAGGGGCACCCUAAGCCAUUCACCCCAUCCGACUUCAGAGUGUAUUCGUUGGGUUCGGCAACUCACCACCAGCAUCCAACCAAAUCUAGCGGAUCAACGGCGCGUCAACUUAGUUCCUUGUCAGCUCGCGAAUUGAUUUUAUCACGUCCUACACCGUCCACAAGAUGGGGGGCCAUCUCCCAUUUCAUCACCUCUCAAACACCCCGUGAGGCCGGCAGGCGGAUUUGAACCCAGACGCGCCGGGAUGCGACGGGAGCAGAAGCCAGGCCUUAACCUCUGCCAGCCGCCUGCCAGCCGCCUGCUGUUGUUGUAUGCUACGAACGCUACCUGCCGCAGAACACCUGGCCCCCUAGCUGAUCCACCGGAUCCUGGCUUGCUGCCGCUAGCUCCACUGCCACUGUUGUUGUAGCCACCCUUAUUUCCAGAAAUUGACGACUGCUUGAGCGCUUUAAGCUGCCUGCAGUCCUUUACCACGUGCCCAGGCUUAUUACAGUAGUAGCAAACGAUCUGCUUUCGACUGUGUCCCGAGCUGUUGUUAGCUGGCCCCCGGCUACCAUAACCAGGAUUAGAAGUGCCGAACGUUGAACCGCCGACAGAUGCAAACACUGCCGACUCGGUAGAUUUGCCUGACCCACCAUUUGCCGUCUCGAUAGCUAAAAGCUUCGAUGUGGCGUUCACCAUGUACAAAUCGCCGUCAUGCAUCAGUAGUGUUGUCGUCAUUGGGUAGACCAACUAGGACGGUAUACACCAGCUCAGAGUCGUUGAUUACGUGGCCGACACCCAACAAGUCCGUUUGCAGCUGCCUGGCACGCGCGAAAUACUUCGGAAGUGGCUCGCCGUCGACCAUUUUGAAGCGGCUGAAUUCUUGGCAUAGAGCCACCUUGCGGGCGUUGCUGUUGGCAGUGAACAUUGAGUUCAAGGCAUCCCAAGCCUUCUUCGCGUUGGGGGCACCGGUGACCAUCGGCAAAUGGUGAUCCUUCACGUUCUUGAUAAGCAGAUUGAUGACUUUCCGCGAUUGACGAAUCUGCUCCUCAUUGCACGGCUCGGCGAGCAAAGACUGCUCAAGCCCAAGGUCCAUGCACAUCGUGCUAAACCUGAUUUGCCACGUGGAGUAGCUGUGGAGGUCCAGCGGCUCAUCAAGCUUAUCCUUGAACAUUGUCGAUAAGGGAUAGAAAUACAAUCGGACAAUAGCUGUCAGCGCUAGUCAGGGCUGUUAAGGAAACGGCCCUCUCCCAACUCAUGAAGUUGUUGAGCAGGGGAUUUGACCUCGGGUCUGCGCUUGAUUUCAGGGGAAGUCUUACCCAAGAACUUUAUGGGGCUACCAAUUUAUCCGAUAGCUAAGUGAUAGACAUUUUGGCACCGUCAGGACGGCGCAGUGAGAUCACGGAAUGUACUUGCAGUGAGACCACGGAAUGUACAAGUUUACUGCUGCACCGGUAUUUAGGGUGGUGACUACACUUAUUUCUUUAUCUCACAAUGAUCGCUAUUCCUCAAACGGAAUCUGUUGAAGGGCGGUCCUAUCCCAACAUGGAUAGGUGGUAGGUAGAUAGGCGAUGAAUCCGCCAUGAUAGGCGAUGCCUCGGACGUGCCUCAACCUUGCCUCGGACAUGCCUCGACCUUGCCUCGGCCGUGCCUCGACCUUGCCUCGGGUCUCUCGGCCGCGUAUCUCGGACGUGUCCUCAGGUCCAGGGAUGGUGGACGACUGUACGAUACUUCCAUUGUAGACACGAGUUGUGCAAGUCUAAGUAUCUCAUCUUUGGAUGGAUCGGUAUUCCUUCAUAGGAAUCUCCUAAAGUCUUCCUACUGUUCACCACUAACCUACCGAUUGUAAUACUUACAUCGCAACCAGUCUCCUUGCCUCCUUCAUAUUCUCAACAGGUUAUGAGCCCCGCCUCACGCUAGUAGCUUACAUAGCUAGCGCGAAGAAGGCAUAGGACGGCUAUCGUCACCUCGAAGUUCUUGACUCUUGAGAUGGCAAGCGGUGGGUCUGGUACGCCUACCGAGUCGGCAGCUUUUGCUUCUGUCGGCAGUUUUUCAUAAGGCGCCUCUGGUUCUGGUCUUGAGAAUCGUGGCGCGGCCAGCAGCAGUUCUGGCGUUCCUCUCCGAGAGGUGAUUUGCUUCUAUUGCAGCAAGCCUGGGCCCAGCAAGGGAUCAGUUUUCCCGAAGCAGGUUGCGUUUGUAGCUUACAACAGUAAGCGUCUGAGGGAUCCUGGUCGAAUAUGGGAAUGAGUAUGCGUCUGAGGGAUCCUGGCCGACUAUGGGAAUGGAGGACAGUAUCGUGUUGUGUAUGUCUCCAACGUCUGCUUUGACGAGUUUAGUGUCGGUCGGCGGCAUAGUGCCAGGGAUUCCGAUGAUGGGUCCGAUGCCGACGAGGGUUGCACACUAGUGUUCCUUGAGGGGUCGCUGCCUAGGGCUGGCGAAUGGACAUGAGGCAAUACCGUCAGCGAGGGAUCGCCGCCAUUGUGUGCCGAAGGCAUCUCAGGCCCACAUGCAGACGACUGGCGGCAGUGAGUGCCACAAAAAUUCUGUAUCCGGUAGACCCCGCUGGAUAGCAUAGAUUGCAGCAGGCGAUCAUUUGCUGCAACUACAAACAGAUGGGCCGUAUAGCUCGGAGUUGAAGAGAAAGCCGCAGCCUAACGUGCAGGGAAGGAGUGGAGGUGGUCUUGGCGCCCGCACCCGCAUGUGGCAGGUGGGGGUAGCAUGCCUCAACAGACAGACGGUGGCGGCAGUGCAGUGAUGCCACGUAUUUUUGCUGCUCGAAAAGAGCAACUUUCUUGUUUAAGGGGAAUUGUCUGACUCCGAAGCGGCUAGUAUUGGUGUACCUAAGUCAGGGCCUCCGUAAGCUCUGGUAGACUCAGGAACCACAGUCGGCUAGGCACCACUGUCACCUGUGGAUGGUGAAGGAAUGCCGGAUGAAGCCGGAACAUCCAGUGGUGCAAGCCAACGCAGGAGUUCAGAGGAAGAGGGCAGGGAAUAUGAGGAGAUAUUAUAGCUAGGGCUGGGAAAAACACCGUAAUCCCAUAAAAUGGACCGUAAUUGCGAAAGGUGUAUUGAAGAAUUGGCGACGGUGACAGCUAACGCUAAUUGUUAUUCCGGAAGGAUUGCCGGUGGCGAAGAUAUUUAGCACGAUAAACUGUUACAAGUAAUGUAAAGAGUAUUGUUAGCGUUCGGCAGGACUUGAGGAGAUUCCUGGUAGGAAUACCGAUCGUUGUGAGAUAAACUAAUAGGCGCAGUCACCGCCCUAAAUACCGGCGCUAGCGGAAAACUCGUACAUUCCGCGAUCUAACUGCACGUACAUUCCGCGAUCUCACUGCGCCGUCCAGACGGUGCCCUAAUGUCUAUCACUUAGCUACCGGAUAUGCAUCGGUAGCCCCAUAAGGUUCUGGGGUAAGUCUUCCCCAUUAGUCAGGCGCAGACCCGGGGUCAAAUCCCCUGGUCGACAACCACACGAGUUGGGAGAGGACCGUUUCCUCAACAAGGUGUAAUGCGCAACGCCGUAAAUAAUGAAAUUUACGGUGGGUUCCGGGGCAAAGUGGACCGUAACGAUUUACGGUCCUCGUUGCCGGAGCCAAAUCCUUUCUUUUCUUUUAUAUAACGAUAUAUAAGCUUAUUUCAUACCUUUUUACAUAGUUUUAUCAGGGUUACUUGCACCUAAGCUUGUAUUUAGCCGCGAUAUGGGUGACAUCCAGCCAAAGACAAGCGGGCUUCCAUGCUGGUUGGCCGUGUGGGGCUCCUGGUGUACAUCUACUACAACUACCGUGUCCUUAACCGCAAGGCCCCUGUCAACAACAAGGAUUGGGACCAGUUCCUGGACUGGUUGAACAGCCUGUCCCCACUGACAGUAGAGGGCCAGCGGCAGCGGGACCACCUCGAGAACAGUGCAACUAAGGCCCAGGCGCCACCGCAGCAGCAGAACUGCACUGAGGAGGACGCCAGCAGCGAUGACGACGAAACGCCCCUGGCGAUACUGUCGAAGUAGCGGCAAUGCGCAGCCCAGGAGGCAGAGGCUGACACUGUUACGCAUGUUCGGCCCGUAUAUAUUAGGAGCAUCAUUCUUGGUUGAGGAUUUAGCAUAUGGCAUGAUGGCAUACAACAGAUGCAGUACUCGAUGCGCGCACGGUGCUCCGGUUGAAAUGUUUUCGCCUCAUUCAGUAUUUUUGGCUGUCUUUUGUGAUAGUUUAAUCAUAGGUUAAUGUAUAAUAAGCUUUUUAAGACUAUCCCGUAGCUCCAAGGGACGAAAUGGCAUGUUUCGAGGUGUGGUCGUCGGUAUUGGCUCGCACGCUUGCGGUCCGACCGUAAUUUGGACCUUUUGGUAACCGUAAUUGCAUUACACCGUAAGGACCGUCAUUUUACUGUGUUUUUGGGGGGUCACCGAAAUUGCGAAAGGUGUAAUGCGCAACUUCGUAAGGACCGUAACCGUAAUUCCCAGCCCUAAUUAUAGCCCUCGGAGUGGUGACAUGGUGUUGCAGGAAGGAGGAUAGUAGGUCGCAUUAACGUGGCUGUCACUGAUCCGUACCCUGCUGAACUUUUGCUGAGUAAUACUUUCACUGAAGCCAUUUCAGGUGCAAAUGCAAAUGAGUGGCGCAGAGUGAUGGUCGAGGAGAUUGCUGCAUUAGCAGCUAACGGUGUUUGUGUGCCAUGUGCACAGCCUCAUGAUGUGCGUGUGCUACUGUACCCGUGGGUGUACAAAUUGAAAACACUGGAAAAUGACAGUGUCAAGCGUUCUUUUGCAUGGCUAGUUGCAAAGGUGUACGAGAAGUACGAGACCUUGGAGAAGCGCAGGUGUUUUCGGACAUGGAAAUUAUGGGGAGAAGCCGGGCAAAUUGGUGUUGUCGCAAUGUAAGUAUAUUGAGCAGCUAUUGGAGCGUCAUCAGACGGUGGACGCCAAGCCACGAUCUACCCCUUUGCCUCCGUGUUUUAUGUGCACACCUACGGGGGAUACAGAUGAGCUGCUGGGUAAUCCCACGGAGUUUAGGGCUUUGGUGGGAGAGUUGAACUACCUAGCGACGAACACUCGGCCUGACAUUUCUUAUGCAUUGAGUGUUUUGUCCCGGCAUAUGGCCACACCUACGAAGACUGCCAUGAAUUUGGCCACUGACGCUCUGCGUUACCUGGCGGGUACUCGCGAACUAGGAUUGCGUUUUGGGGGUGUUGGCGGUGUUGCAAUGUCCGGGUACAGCGAUUCGGACUGGGCAGGAGACCCAGUUACGCAGCGUUUUACGUCCGGUUACGUAUUCACUCUUAAUGGGGCUGCGAUUAUCUAGAGCAGCCAACUUCAACGUACUGUGGCGGCUUCGUCGGUGGAGGCUGAGUACCAAGCUACAGCGGCGGCUGUUCGUGAAGCUUUGUGGCUUCACAAGCUGAUGGUCGAUUUGGGCUUGCCUGAGAGCGUGGUGAAAAUCCAGAUAGACUCCCAGGGGGCGCUUAGCUUGGGAAAUAAUCCGAUUACGUCUGCUCGGUCGAAACACAUCGACGUGCAGCACCACAUAGUGUGUGAGAGGGUGAAUAGCGGGGAGGUGCAGUUGGAGUACUGCCCUACAGAGUGGAUGGUAGCGGAUGCACUCACGAAGGCACUGGGAGAAGUGAAGUUCAAACGGUGCAGAGAAGCUAUGGGUGUUAUGUGAAGUGCCCAUUGGUGGAGCAAAUGUGCUACUGCGAGCUGGGAUAUGUCCCGAGGGGGCGUGUUGAAGGGCAGUCCUAUCCCAACAUAGAUAGGUGGUAGAUAGGCGAUGAAUCCGCCGUGAUAGGCGAUGCCUCGGACGUGCCUCAACCUUGCCUCGGAUGUGCCUCGACCUUGCCUCGGCCGUGCCUCGACCUUGCCUCGGGUCUCUCGGCCGCGUAUCUCGGACUUGUUCUCAGGUCCAGGGAUGGUGGACGACUGUUCGAUACUUCCAUUGGUACUGGUAUAUAAGACACGAGUUGUGCAAGUCUAAGUAUCUCAUCUUCGGAUGGAUCGGUAUUCCUUCAUAGGUAUCUCCUAAGGUCUUCCUGCCGAUCACCACUAACCUACCGAUUGUAAUACUUACAUCGAAACCAGUCUCCUUGCCUCCUUCAUAUCUCAACAGCAUCUCCUAAAGUCCUGCCGAACGCUAAUAUUACUUUUUACAUUACUUGUAACAGUUUAUCGUGUUCAAUAUCUUCGCCGCCGGCAUUCCUUCCGGAAUAACAAUCAGCAUCAGCUGUCACCGUCGCCAAUUCUUCAACAGGUUAUGAGCCCCGCCUAGCGCCGACAGCUAUCGUCCGAUUGUUAUUUCUAUCCCUUACGACAAUGGUCAAGGAUAAGCUUCAUGAGCCGCUGGACCUCCACAACUACUCCAUGUGGCAAAUACGGUUUAGUGUGAUGUGCAUAGAGCUUGGGCUUGAGCAGUCUUUGCUCGCCGAGCCGUGCAAUGAGGAGCAGAUUCGUCAAUCGCGGAAAGUCAUCAACUUGCUUAUCAAGAACGUGAAGGAUAACCAUUUGCCGAUGGUCACCGGUGCCGCAAACGCGAAGAAGGCUUGGGAUGCCUUGAACUCAAUGUUGGCUGCCAACAACAACGCCCGCAAGGUGGCUCUACGACAAGAAUUCAGCCGCUUCAAGAUGGUCGACGGCGAGCCACCUCCGAAGUACUUCGCGCGUGCGAGGCAGCUGCAAAGGGACUUGUUGGGUGUCGGCCACGUAAUCAACGACUCAGUAGCGUUGUCGUCACCACACUGUACCGAUUGGGUAGUUGGACGGACGAGCUUGGGGUUGUUCUUGCUUUGGUGCACGUAGAUGAUACCAUUGUUGCGUCGGAAGACCCGGAAAUGGUCCGGGCAAUUAAAGCCGCAAUUGUGAAGGUCUUCAAGGUGCGCGACCUUGGAGAAGCGAAGGUGUUUUGGGGCAUGGAAAUUAGGAGGGAGAAGUCGGGUGAGAUAGUGUUGUCGCAGCAUAGGUAUUGUUGAAGGACGGUCCUAUACCAACGUAGGUAGGUGGUAGUUAGGCGAUGAAUCCGCCAUGAUAGGCGGUGCCUCGGACAUGCCUCGACCUUGCCUCGGCCGUGCCUCGACCUUGCCUCGACCUUGCCUUGGGUCUCUCGGCCGCGUAUCUCGGACGUGUCCAGAGGUCCAGGGAUGGUGGACGACUGUACGAUACUUGCAUUGGUAUCGGUACAUAAGACCAGAGCGAGUUGGGAUAUGUCCCGAGGGGGCGUGUUGAAGGGCGGUCCUAUCCCCNNNNNNNNNNNNNNNNNNNNNNNNNNNNNNNNNNNNNNNNNNNNNNNNNNNNNNNNNNNNNNNNNNNNNNNNNNNNNNNNNNNNNNNNNNNNNNNNNNNNNNNNNNNNNNNNNNNNNNNNNNNNNNNNNNNNNNNNNNNNNNNNNNNNNNNNNNNNNNNNNNNNNNUUCCUACUAAGGAAUAGCGAUCCAUACAAAGAUGAGAUAAUAAGACUAGCACAACUCGUGUCUUAUAAACCAGUACCAAUGGAAGUAUCGUACAGAUGUCCACCAUCCCUGGACCUGAGGUCACGUCCGAGAUACGCGGCCGAGAGACCCGAGGCAAGGUUGAGGUACGGCCGAGGCAAGUCGAGGCAUGGCCGAGGCAAGGUCGAGGCACGGCCGAGGCAAGGUCGAGGCACGGCCGAGGCAAGGUCGAGGCAAGUAAUAUAUUCCUUUUAAGGAAUAAAGAGGCCAUUUUGGCCUUUGGAAAUAAGGAACAAAUCGAGGCCGAUUCGUACAUUUUCAUUCCACCAGCCAAAAAUGUCCAUUGCUGCCAGAUUGCUCCGUAGUGUGCAGAACUUAGUAUUAUCGAUCAUAGAAUAGAUAUGAGGGGCCGUAAGAAGGUCAACCCCGUGAGUCAAUGUAUGACCGGUCCUUACAUAGCGAAACACGCAAAAGGCAACGACUUGAACGCCGAACAAACACCAAAACAGCAAGAUAAGCCUGAAAUAUUUCCUCAUAAAAGCGUUUGGGACGGCGGUGCUGUUGUCGGUAAUGCAUCGGCAAUGGUGUUGCUGCCAGCGGCGACCGAUGACCCGGGCGCCAUUACCCCUGCCUUCCAUGGCGGUUUUGAUCAGCAUAAGCGCCCAAUCAGCUCGACAACAACGAAUGCGACGAGGCGCCCAACCCGAGCGCUCGCAGUGCCAAGCGGGCUCAGACACAGCACAUCCGCAAGGGCCAGAGCGACAGUGCAUGGCGGGACAAGCAGAAAGAAAAUCCCUACAGAUGGCAGAUUGCCUGGGCCGCCGGGUAUCCCUGGGCCCAGCCUGUGCAUGCUGACGUGGACGCCGGAGAAGUGCACGACCAAGUGCGCUGCAUCCCCUGCACGUUGACUGAGGAAGUGGCUGGACAGCAGCAGCAGGGGCCGGUACAUGAUGAACCGGUAGAGUCCUAGUGUGCUGUGGUUUGCAGUGGCGGGUGACGGCCUUUGAUUUGCUAUGCGGUUGCUUGCUUUGGGCCUUUGCUUGGUCGGAUUUACUUUUUGUUCACAAACAGUGCCAGAACUAUCUAUGCAUGUGCAUGAAGAGUGCGCACAUGAACGAAAACGCGCCAACGCAGUGCGUGCCUCUUGGUCUAUGAGGGGAGUUGUAACUUAUCGGGGGGGGGGUCUGGGGGGGUUAUGACGGCAGUGCAAUGAUGCCACGUAUUUUUGCUGCAAGAAAAGAGCAACUAUCUUGUUUAAGGGGAAUUGUCUAACUCCGAAGAGGCUAGUAUUGGUGUACCUGAGUCAGGGCCUCUGCCAAGCUCCGUAGACUUAGGAAACACAGUUCCCCUUAAACAAGAUAGUUGCUCUUUUCUUGCAGCAAAAAUACGUGGCAUCAUUGCACUGCCGUCAUCGCCUGUCUGUUGAGGCAUGCUACCCCACCUGCCACGUGCGGGUGUGGGCGCCAAGACCACCUCCACUCCUUCCUUGCACGUUAGGCUGCGGCUCUCUCUACAACUCCGAGCUAUACGGCCGGUCUGUUUGUAGUUGCAGCAAAUGAUCGCCUGCUGCAAUCCAUGCUAUCCAGCGGGGUCUACCGGAUACAGAAUUUUCGCGACACUCACUGCCGCCAGUCGUCUGCAUGUGGGCCUGAGAUAGCUUCGGCAUAAAAAGUUAGGCUCUGAAUCCCAGCAGAUACUGCAGCAAUGACUCGGCCUGUAGCACUACCACCAGGUAUACUCCGUCACCACUCGCCAGGACGUUUGCAUUCCCUAACUGAAUACCGAGCCCCCAGCAUUUCCACAUCAGGGUAUGUAUUUCCUUGCACAUUCACACUUCUGGGAGGUCCAGCCCCAGCCGGCGCCCCCUCACCACACAAAUGCGGCGGUCCCUCGCUGACGGUAUUGCCUGAUGUCCAUUCGCCAGCCCUAGGCAGCGACCCCUCACCAGGCAAGCUAGUGUGCAACCCUCGUAAGUAUCGGACCCAUCAUCGGAAUCCCUGGCAUUGUGCCUCCGGCCGACAUUAAACCCAUCAAGGCAGACAUUGGGGACGUACACAACACGAUACUGUCCUCCAUUCUGAUAUUCGGCCAGGAUCCCUCAGACGCUUACUGUUGUAAGCUACAAACGCAACCUGUUGAGGAAACGGUCCUCUCCCAACUCGUGUGGUUGUCGACCAGGGGAUUUGACCCCGGGUCUGCGCCUGACUAAUGGGGAAGACUUACCCCAGAACAUUAUGGGGCUACCGAUGCAUAUCCGGUAGCUAAGUGAUAGACAUUAGGGCACCGUCUGGUCGGCGCAGUGAGAUCGCGGAAUGUACGUGCAGUUAGAUCGCGGAAUGUACGAGUUUUCCGCUAGCGCCGGUAUUUAGGGCGGUGACUGCGCCUAUUAGUUUAUCUCACAACGAUCGGUAUUCCUACCAGGAAUCUCCUCAAGUCCUGCCGAACGCUAAUAAUACUCUUUACAUUACUUGUAACAGUUUAUCGUGCUAAAUAUCUUCGCCACCGGCAAUCCUUCCGGAAUAACAAUCAGCGUUAGCCGUCACCGUCGCCAAUUCUUCAAUAGGUUAUGAGCCCCGUUUAGCGCCGACAGCUAUCGCCCAAUUGUUAUUUCUAUCCCUCAUCGACAAUGGUUAAGGACAAGCUUGAUGAGUCGCUGGACCUCAACAACUACUCUACCUGGCAAAUUCGGUUUAGCGCGAUGUGCAUGGAGCUUGGGCUUGAGCAAUCCCUGCUCGCCGAGCCGUGCAACGAGGAGCAAAUUCGACAGUCACGGAAGGUCAUCAAUCUGCUCAUCAAGAACGUCAAGGAUCAUCAUUUGCCGAUGGUUACCGGUGCUGCCAACGCGAAGAAGGCCUGGGACGCCUUGGGAUCUAUGUUUGCUGCCAACAACAACGCACGCAAGGUGUCUCUACGUCAAGAAUUCAGCCGUUUUAAGAUGGUCGACGGCGAACCUCUUCCGAUGUACUUUGCGCGUGCAAGGCAGCUGCAAACAGAUUUAUUGGGAGUCGGCCACGUAGUUAACGACUCCGAGCUGGCGUACACCGUGCUAGUUGGUCUACCCAGUCGGUACAGCGUGGUGACGACUACAUUACUUAUGCGCGACGGCGAUUUGGACAUGGCGAGCGUCACAGCAAAGCUUCUCUCUAUCGAGACGGCUAACGGUGGGUCGGGCAAGCCUACCGAGUCGGCAGCCUUCGCGUCUGUCGGCGGUUCGACGUUCGGCGCUUCUACUUCUGGUUAUGGUAGCCGGGGGCCGGCUAACAACAGCUCGGGACAUAGUCGGAAGCAAGUCAUCUGCUACUACUGUAAUAAACCUGGGCACGUGGUUAAGGACUGCAGGCAGCUUAAGGCGCUGAAGCAGUCGUCAAAUUCUGGCUACAAGGGUGGCUACAGCAACAAUGGUAACGGAGGUAGUGGCAGCGGAGCUAGCGGCAGCAAGCCAGGAUCCGGUGGAUCAGCUAGGAGGCCAGGAGUUCCGCGGCAGGUAGCAUUCGUGGCAUACAACAGCAAUCGUCCGACGGAAUGGUUUCUGCCGCCACUCACCACAUAACGUAUGACCGCUCAGAACUUUUCAACGUGCGGUUGUUGGAGCCGUGGGAGCGCUUCAACAUCAUGGGCAUCAAGGGACAGUCUCUUCGACCGACUGAAGUUGGCACGCUUACGAUUCGGUCUAACGUCAACGAUAAACAGGCCAUCACUUUCAAGAAGGUCUACGUCGACGAGGAGGCCACCGCCAAAAUCAUAUCGGUACGCAUCAUUGAUGAUCGUGGAGGCAGUGUGGUCUUCGGCGGCGGACAGGCGAAAGUAUACGUACAGAACCAGUUGGUGCUGACUGGAAAGCGGGAUGGGGACUUGUAUCCCGUCUGCUACAGCAGUGGAGGUACGGGAGCUCUGAAGAGGACGCAGCGUGAAGACAACAGGAUACCUUCUGGUGGUGAUGCAGUGUGUGCUGCCGUGGGUAUCGGAGCUGAACGUGCAGCACUUUGGCACCGAAGGUAUGGCCACUUGGGAUACAGCAACCUUGAGACGUUGCUGCGUCAUAAUAUGGUAGCUGGAUUUGAUGUUGACCGACACAGCAUACAAUCAGCCAGCACGUGUGUGUGUGAGACUUGCGUCCUUGCUAAACAUACACNNNNNNNNNNNNNNNNNNNNNNNNNNNNNNNNNNNNNNNNNNNNNNNNNNNNNNNNNNNNNNNNNNNNNNNNNNNNCGAACGGAGCUGCAGAACGUUAAAUCGCACUCUUUUGGACAAGACUAGGGCUAUGCUAGUUGAGUCUGGACUGCCUAAAUCAUUAUGGGCGGAGGCGUUAGCGACAGCCAACUAUCUUAGGAAUGUGUCGCCAACUGCUGGGUCAACCGUCAAUCCGUACGAAGCUUUCUUUAAUGUUCGUCCGAACGUCAGUCACCUGCGAGUCUUUGGAUGCGUUGCCUACGUCCACGUACCCGACGUCAAGCGCGACAAGUUCGACCCGGUGAGCAGGCGUGGAAUACUUGUCGGAUACGGGAACGGUGGACAGUAUCGUGUACUAUACGAGGACGGCAUUAUUGCCGUAGUUUCUAACGUUCGUUUUGACGAGUCUAAUGUCGGCCGGCGGCGUAAUGCCGGGGACUCCGACUAUGAGUCCGAUGCCGACGAGGAGGAGGAGUUUCACACUAGUUUAUCUGGUGAGGGAUCGCUGCCUAGGGCUGGCGAAGGGACACCAGGUAGCACCGUCGGCGAGGGAUCGCCGCAUUUGGGUGGCGAGGGGGCGCCGGCUGGGGCUGGACCUUCCAGCAGUGCGAACGGGCAAGGAAUCAAUCAGCCUGAUGUGGAAAUGGCGGGAACUAGGUACCCAGUUAGAGAGCGUAAACGCCCUGGCGAAUGGUGGCGAAACGAACCUGGUCGCACUGUCACUGGUCGCGUUAACGCUGCUUUCUCUGCUGGUAUUCCUGAGCCUAAUUCGUUUGAGGAAGCAAUUGCAAGUCCACAUGCAGACAACUGGCGGCGUGCGAUGGACGAGGAGAUCGCCGCCCAGAUGGCUAAUAGUACUGGGAGCGAAGAAGCCACCUCCUGGUACUCGUUUGUUGCCGUGUCGUUGGGUAUAUAAGGUUAAGUACAGCGAUGACGGCAGUGUGGAGCGUUUUAAGGCGCGUUUAGUUGCCAAGGGUUUCGAGCAACGUGAGGGGAUUGAUUAUGGGGAGUUGUUUGCCCCUACCUCUCGUGGUUCGUCAUUGCGUGCUUUAUUAGCAGUUGCCGCAGCCCGGAACAUGACGGUACAUCAGCUCGAUGUGUCUACUGCGUUUUUGAACGGUGAGCUGAAGGAGGAAUUGUGGAUGGAGCAACCGCCUGGGUAUGCAUCCAGUGACCGGUCGCUUGCGUGCAAGCUGCAGAAGUCUAUUUACGGUUUAAAGCAGGCACCCCGUUGCUGGUAUGAAAAACUAUCAGCAGAGUUCGCCAAGCUGGGUCUUUAUCCUUCGAAGUCUGAUCCGGCGAUGUUCGUUAAGACUGACGAGCGUGGGGUUGUUAUUGCUUUGGUACACGUAGAUGAUACAAUUGUUGCGUCAGAAGACCCGGAAAUGGUCCGGGCAAUUAAAGCCGCAAUUGCGAAGGUCUUCAAGGUGCGAGACCUUGGAGAAGCGAAGGUGUUUUUGGGCAUGGAAAUUAGGAGGGAGAAGUCGGGUGAGAUAGUGUUGUCGCAGCAUAGGUAUAUUGCGCAGCUAUUGGAGCGUCAUAAGUUGGUUGACGCCAAGCCGAGGUCUACCCCUUUGCCUCCGGGCUUUAGGUACACUCCUAAGGUAGAAGGAGAGGAGCUGCUGGGCAAUCCCACGGAGUAUAGGGCUUUGGUGGGAGAAUUGAACUAUCUGGCGACGAACACGCGGCCUGACAUUUCUUAUGCAUUGAGUGUUUUGUCCCAGCAUAUGGCCACACCUACGAAGACUGCCAUGAACUUGGCCACUGGCGUUCUGCGUUACCUGGCGGGUACUCGCGAACUAGGAUUGCGUUUUGGGGGUGUUGGCGACGUUGCUAUGUCCGGGUACAGUGAUUCGGACUGGGCAGGAGACCCAGUUACGCGGCGUUCUACGUCCGGUUACGUAUUCACUCUUAAUGGGGCUGCGAUUAGCUGGAGCAGCCAACUUCAACGUACUGUGGCGGCUUCGUCGGUGGAGGCUGAAUACCAAGCUACAGCGGCGGCUGUUCGUGAGGCUUUGUGGCUUCGCAAGCUGAUGGUUGAUUUGAGCUUGCCUGAGAGCGCGGUGAAAAUCCAGAUAGACUCCCAGGGGGCGCUUAGCUUGGGAAACAACCCGAUUACGUCUGCUCGGUCGAAGCACAUCGACGUGCAGCAUCACAUAGUGCGUGAGAGGGUGAAUAGCGGUGAGGUGCAGUUGGAAUACUGCCCUACGGAAUGGAUGGUUGCGGAUGUGCUAACGAAGGCUCUGGGCGAGGUGAAGUUCAAACGUUGCCGAGAUGCUAUGGGCCUUGUGUGAAGUGUGCAGAUGAACUUGGUACUCGUUGGGAUACGGCCCGAGGGGGCGUGUUGAGGAAACGGUCCUCUCCCAACUCGUGUGGUUGUCGACCAGGGGAUUUGACCCCGGGUCUGCGCCUGCCUAAUGGGGAAGACUUACCCCAGAACCUUAUGGGGCUACCGAUGCAUAUCCGGUAGCUAAGUGAUAGACAUUAGGGCACCGUCUGGUCGGCGCAGUGAGAUCGCGGAAUGUACGUGCAGUUAGAUCGCGGAAUGUACGAGUUUUCCGCUAGCGCCGGUAUUUAGGGCGGUGACUGCGCCUAUUAGUUUAUCUCACAACGAUCGGUAUUCCUACCAGGAAUCUCCUCAAGUCCUGCCGAACGCUAAUAAUACUCUUUACAUUACUUGUAACAGUUUAUCGUGCUAAAUAUCUUCGCCACCGGCAAUCCUUCCGGAAUAACAAUCAGCGUUAGCCGUCACCGUCGCCAAUUCUUCAAUACAACCUGCCUCGGGAAAACUGAUCCCUUGCUAGACCCACCGGGCCCAGGCUUGCUGCAAUAGAAGCAAAUCACCUCUUGGAGAGGAACGCCAGAACUGCUGCUGGCCGCGCCACGAUUCCCAAGACCAGAACCAGAGGCGACAAACAAAACACUGCCGACAGAAGCAAUAGCUGCCGACUCGGUAGGCUUACCAGAGCCACCGCUUGCCAUCUCGAUAGUCAAGAACUUCGAGGUGACGAUAGUCAUGUCCGAAUCGCCGUCACGCACCAGUAGGGAUGUCGUUACCAUGCUGAAGCGGCUGGGCAAACCAACAAGCAAAGUGUGUGCCCGCUCAGAAUCGCUGAUAACGUGUCCUACUCCCAAACAAGUCCGACUGUAGUUGCUUGCAGGCGUCCUAUGCCUUCUUCGCGUUAGCUAUGUAAGCUACUAGCGUGAGCCGGGGCUCAUAACCUGUUAAGAAUAUGAAGGAGGCAAGGACACUGGUCGCGAUAUAAGGGUUACAGUCUGUGGGUUACUGGUGAACGGCAAGAAGACUUUAGGAGAUUCCUGUUAAGGAAUACCGAUCCAUCAGAAGAUGAGAUACUAAGACUUGCAUAACUUUUGUCUUAUAUACUAGUACCAAUGGAAGUAUCGUACAGUCGCCCACCAUCAACGCUGGACACGGGGAAACGUCCGAGAUACGCGGCCGAGACCCGAGGCAAGGUCGAGGCAUGGCCGAGGCAAGGUCGAGGCACGGCCGAGGCAAGGUCGAGGCACGGCCGAGGCAAGGUCGAGGCACGGCCGAGGCAUCGCCUAUCACGGCGGAUUCAUCACCUAACUACCACCUAUCUACGUUGGGAUAGGACCGGCCUUCAACACCUGGUAGGAAUACCGAUCGUUGUGAGAUAAACAUAUAAGGCAGGCGGCUGGCAGAGGUUAAGGCCUGGCUUCUGCUCCCGUCGCGUCCCGGCGCAUCCGGGUUCAAAUCCGCCUGCCGACCUCUGGGGGUGUUUGAGAGGUGAUGAAAUGGGAGGUGGCCCCCCAUCUUGUGGACGGUGUAGGACGUGAAAAAAUCAACUCGCGAGCUGACCAGGAACUAAGUUGACGCGCCGUUGAUCCGCUAGAUUUGGUUGGAUGCUGGUGGUGAGUUGCCGAACCCAACGAAUACUCUCAGAAGUCGGAUGGGGUGAAUGGCUUAGGGUGCCCCUCUAGCAGGGGAGAGCAGGGAAUUGCCUAGGGAAGGAGGCCACUGGUGAAGCGUAACCACCCUGUAAAAAGAAAAAAAAAUAAGCGUAGUCACCGCCCUUAAUACCGGCGCUAGCGGAAAACUCGUACAUUCCGCGAUCUAACUGCACGUACAUUCCGCGAUCUCACUGCGCUGUACUGACGGUGCCCAAAUGUCUAUCACUUAGCUACCGGAUAUGCAUCGGUAGCCCCAAACAGUUAUGGGGUAAGUCUUCCCCAAUAGUUAGUCACAGACCCGGGGUAAAAUCCGCUGGUCGACAACCCCACGAGUUGGGAGAGGACCGUUUCCUCACCAGAGUCUAACGUCGGCCGGCGGCAUUAUGCCGGGGACUCCGAUUAUGAGUCCGAUGCCGACGAGGAGGAUUUUCGCACUAGCCUGC
rnacentral:lncRNA from 1 species